rnacentral:RNase_P_RNA from 1 species
CUGGGGAGUUAGUGCGAUCGCUUUGCGUCAUUGCAAAGAGGAAAGUCCGGGCUCCAUAGAGCAAGGUGGUCGAUAACGUCGACCGGCCGCAAGGCUAGGGAAAGUGCAACAGAAAGCAAACCGCUGGGCACCUGCUCAGUAAGGGUGAAACGGUGGGGUAAGAGCCCACCAGAGCUCAAGGCGACUUGGGCUGCUAGGUAAACCCCACCUGGAGCAAGAACAAACAGAACGUCAACUCAUCAGCAAGUUUGCUCGUUGGUGAGUGGGCUGCUGCUCGCGGCCUCGCACGUUCGGGUUGAUCGCUCGACGCCGUUAGCAAUGACGGUGCUAGAUAAAUGAUCGCAGCGCUUCGGCGAACAGAACCCGGCUUACGAACCCCCCAGGUCU